CUCUUCUCUUUUCCUCUCUCCCCCUUCCUUCGACACAGUACAGGGCUAAUCGUACCUUCUAAGAGGCACAGACAAGAGAGAGCCGUAGCCCGGCCUGUCGCCGCGGUGGUCUUUCGUGUGGGCGGUGUGGGUUUAGAGGUACCUAAUGGCCUGUACCGUAGGCUUAAUUAAACGCUCUUUGCCACCUAGAUAGGUGGGCUUAACUAAUCAGCGGAGCAGAGCGGGAAGUGCGUCGUCGUCGUCGUCUGUCGGCCGGCGCGCGUAGGCGGUACCUACAAGACCCGCCGCUAGCUAAUCGUUGUUCUCCUAAGACCGACUUAACCUUGUGUCUCCUUGACUUCUAUUAACGUGUUAAGACCAUGACCGAUAGUAUUAAUUAAUUAAUUAAAUGGUCCUAGAGAGACUUAAAAGAAUGUUGGAAGAAGGCGGGAAUUGGUGAAGGCGGGUCAUUAAUUGUUGGAUGGAAUAAUAUGUCGAACGUACUCUUAAAGUGUCUCGGUACCGUCUUCCUUCGUGCGUAUGAUGAUGUUUCUUGUUGUGGAAUAAAUACAUAUACUACUCUGACUGAGUAUUAAAUGGUACCGGUGCUUGGGUCCUCUCCUCUCCUCUUCUCCUUCUUCGUUCGCCUGACCCUCUUAAGAGGUCCUCUAGUUAGCCGGCUUGGCCCUGCCCGUACCCGCAGCUGGUCUAGCGUCGUAGUGGUAGUGCUGCGGGCCUAGGCGAAGAGCCGCCAGUGCCCGUACCCGUAGCUGGCCUUGUGCCACCUCUCCAGGGCGCCCUGCCGCUCCGUGUGGGCGCGGCAGCAGCAGCGGCAGUCGCAGCCGGCGCUGAAGGCGAAGUCGCGGCCUUCGGCCCCGUGGCCGCCGAACGCGCCGCGGCGACCCGUGAGGAGCCCGUCGUCCUAGGACGUGAGGAAGCUGCAGCCGCAGCUGCCCAGGAAGAGGAGGCGGCGGCGACACCGGAGGCAGAACGGGAGGCGACGGCGGCUGAGGACGCACCUGCUGCGGCCGCUGCCGCUCCGGCUCCGUCGCAGCCUCCCCCGGUUUCCGCGGCAGAACUAGCCGCCGUCGCUGCCGUCCCUGAGCAGCCGCCUCCUCCGGUAACGACAGCCGGCCUAGCCGCCACUUUAAGCGCCGCGCUCACCCACACCUUCCUUACCCUAGCUUAAGAACAAGAGACCACCCACGUCCUCCACCCAGUUUUUUUCUUCGCUCCUUUCUCUCUCCAACCCCGACAUCCGGACAUCGCGGUUCCCCAAUUUA
rnacentral:rRNA from 1 species